CGAACGGGUGAGUAAUACAUCGGAACGUGUCCUGUAGUGGGGGAUAGCCCGGCGAAAGCCGGAUUAAUACCGCAUACGCUCUACGGAGGAAAGGGGGGGAUCUUAGGACCUCCCGCUACAGGGGCGGCCGAUGGCAGAUUAGCUAGUUGGUGGGGUAAAGGCCUACCAAGGCGACGAUCUGUAGCUGGUCUGAGAGGACGACCAGCCACACUGGGACUGAGACACGGCCCAGACUCCUACGGGAGGCAGCAGUGGGGAAUUUUGGACAAUGGGGGCAACCCUGAUCCAGCAAUGCCGCGUGUGUGAAGAAGGCCUUCGGGUUGUAAAGCACUUUUGUCCGGAAAGAAAACGCCGUGGUUAAUACCCGUGGCGGAUGACGGUACCGGAAGAAUAAGCACCGGCUAACUACGUGCCAGCAGCCGCGGUAAUACGUAGGGUGCAAGCGUUAAUCGGAAUUACUG
rnacentral:rRNA from 1 species